AGCAGGGAUUAAACAAAAGGAGUAGGAAAUUUAUCAGCUUGAACAAUAUUCCCUCAAGACAGUCACAACCCAUUCUACUUCUGAGGGGGAAAGGUACCAAAAACCUUCACCAAGCUCAGGCACAGGCUCAGGUAACAGAUGUAUACCAGGAGUGUUCCGAGGAAGCAGUUGGCUGAGAAACUGCUGCAGAAAUGGGAGGCCACAGCCUGAAAGCUGAAGACAGCAGGAAGGCCCCUGCCUGUUAUAAGCUCCGAGUUAAUUCUGAAAACAACAGUUUCCAGUCAUCUAUCAAGGAAAACAAACUGCAAUGAUUUUUCUGCAUAUGUCUGAUCAUAUAUAAAGUGGGACCCAAUAUCCUCCAUACCCAAGACAUAUAAUAAAUUAAUCCAUAUACUCUUUUAUAUAGUGUUUUGCAAAUGGGGAUCA